GCCAGGCGUGGUGAUGCCUGCCUGUAAUCCUUGCUUCUGGGGACACUGAGGCUGAUGGAUCACUUGAGCUUGGGAAUUCUGAGCUGCAGUGGGCUAAAGCUGAAUAGGUAUCCACACUAAGUCUCACACAAGUAUGGUGUCGGAGCCACAAGGCCACCUAAGGAGGGGCAUUAAAUUGGCCCAGGCUAGAAACAAAACAAGUCAAAACUUUUGUGCUAAUUGGUAAUGGGAUUGGAUUUGUGAGUGGUCAUUGUGCUUCUAGCUUAGCCAAGAAAGGGAAGGA
rnacentral:SRP_RNA from 1 species